rnacentral:piRNA from 1 species
AAACAUGGCAACAGGGCUGAGAU